AGGCGAGACGUUCAUUUCGUAUCGAGAGGAAGGAUGAACCAACACCGAACAGGAGUUCACUCGGAGAAAUGUCAAACUGGGCAAAGUUUAUCUCGUAAUUUAAAAUAAGGUCGAAACGAAUUAUGUUUAAUAAUCAAUAUUUUUAAAUUUGUUCUUUUAUAUAAGUAUUUGAAAAAAUAGACGCACCAAUGCAUGAUUCAUUAAUAACGUAUUUGUUCUUUCGCCAUUCGAGAACUAAAUGACGCAAUUUUAAACGUUUUCUCAACAACUUGUAUGGCAUACGAGAUAUUUGAAUUUCGUCCUUUUUUGAGGGUAUGGUAGAGUUUUUUUGAAAUGUGAUUUUCGUUUUUAUUCCUGCGUAGUUGUCGUAAAUUGCUAGCCAAAGUUUAAGUGUGAAUAAUAAAAAUUAUUUAGUUUUCGGUUCUGCUGUCGUUUCCGUACUGGAACUAGCAAGAAUCUCUUUGGCAGAUUGCCUUCGUGGCUGUUGUUUGAUUUGGUCAAGCCCGGAAAAGGUUGUACGACUAAGCCAGAACAAUCGAAAAAUUUCGAUAACAGGCUUGGAACUGGACCUAAAUAGAAAUCUGGAACAAGGGCACCCGCAUUUUAUGAACGUGCUUGGUGUGCAAACGUCACGUACUUCACAUUUCCGAUACGCACGAUGGUGAGUUGCCAGGUCUCCCGGUCUUGGGCCGCCGACGAGUUGCCAUUUCAUCGGGAGCGGAUUGCUAUGGAAUCUGUGCUUGUUGGGUCUAUCGUUAUGCUUUGCUACGGGACGGAAUGAUUUGCAAAAGAAGUUGACCGGAAAUCUUGCAAACAUCUACAGAUUACCUUUUCGUCCAAGAAUGAAAAGAUCAACGUUUAUUAGUCAAGCGCCGGUAUGUUGUUAAAUUGUGAAAGCUAAAUUCUAAGCUAGCUUAAUUAUCUCCAACCGAAUAUGUACUUUAAUAUAUGUAAAUAUAUGCUAAAAGUUCUUU